UCCGUUUGAUCCCGCCGGAGGUUACUGCUAUCGAGGUUCGACUAAGCCAUGCGAGUCGAAUGUAGCAAUACAUGGCGUACUGCUCAGUAACACGUGGACAACCUACCCUUAGGUCGGGGAUAAACCCGGGAAACUGGGUAUAAUACCCGAUAGUCCUCGGAUGCUGGAAUGCACCGAGGUCUAAAGCUCCGGCGCCUAAGGAUGGGUCUGCGGCCUAUCAGGUAGUAGUGGGUGUAGCGUACCUACUAGCCUACGACGGGUACGGGUUGUGAGAGCAAGAGCCCGGAGAUGGAUUCUGAGACACGAAUCCAGGCCCUACGGGGUGCAGCAGGCGCGAAAACUUUACAAUGCUGGAAACAGCGAUAAGGGAACCUCGAGUGCCAGGUUACAAAUCUGGCUGUCGUGAUGCCUAAAAAGCAUUGCAUAGCAAGGGCCGGGCAAGACCGGUGCCAGCCGCCGCGGUAACACCGGCGGCUCGAGUGGUAACCGCUAUUAUUGGGUCUAAAGGGUCUGUAGCCGGCCGGAUAAGUCUUUUGGGAAAUCUGGCAGCUUAACUGUCAGGCUUUCAGAGGAUACUGUCUGGCUCGAGGCCGGGAGAGGUGAGAGGUACUUCAGGGGUAGGGGUGAAAUCUUGUAAUCCUUGAAGGACCACCAGUGGCGAAGGCAUCUCACCAGAACGGACCUGACGGCAAGGGACGAAAGCUAGGGGCACGAACCGGAUUAGAUACCCGGGUAGUCCAAGCCGUAAACGAUACUCGCUAGGUGUCGGCCACGGUGCGACCGUUGUCGGUGCCGUAGGGAAGCCGUGAAGCGAGCCACCUGGGAAGUACGGCCGCAAGGCUGAAACUUAAAGGAAUUGGCGGGGGAGCACCACAACGGGUGGAGCUUGCGGUUAAAUUGGAUUCAACGCCGGAAAUCUUACCGGGACCGACAGCAACAUGAAGGCCAGGCUGAAGACUUUGCUGGAUUAGCUGAGAGGUGGUGCAUGGCCGUCGUCAGUUCGUACUGUGAAGCAUCCUGUUAAGUCAGGCAACGAGCGAGACCC
rnacentral:rRNA from 1 species